rnacentral:rRNA from 1 species
GACGAACGCUGGCGGCGUGCUUAACACAUGCAAGUCGAACGGGCCUUGUCCCCUUUUUUUUUGGGGGUGGGGUUAGUGGCGAACGGGUGAGUAACACGUGAGUAACCUGCCCCUCACUUCUGGAUAACCGCUUGAAAGGGUGGCUAAUACGGGGUGUUCUGGCCUGCUCGCAUGGGUGGGUUUGGAAAGAUUCGACCGGUUUGGUUGUUUUGGUGGGGGAUGGGCUCGCGGCCUAUCAGCUUGUUGGUGGGGUGAUGGCCUGCCAAGGCUUUGACGGGUAGCCGGCCUGAGAGGGUGGGCGGUCACACUGGGACUGAGACACGGCCCAGACUCCUACGGGAGGCAGCAGUGGGGAAUAUUGCACGAUGGGCGCAAGCCUGAUGCAGCGACGCCGCGUGAGGGAUGGAGGCCUUCGGGUUGUGAACCUCUUUCGCCAGUGAAGAAGGUCCUGCUCUUUGUGGUGGGGUUGACGGUAGCUGGGUUAAUGAAGCGCCGGCUAACUACGUG